UCCGAAUUGGUGUAGUGGCUAACAUUUGACGCUCUCACUGUUCGCUCCACGAGCGACACUGAUCCGUCAAGCCCGGGGUUCGAUUCCCCGAUUCGGAG